GAAAAAAUGUAGAAGCAGAUGUUGGCUGAAGGAGAGGGAAGGGAAUGCUAAUUUCUCAGUUUUGUAAGAGUUAUAAUUCUUUUACGAAAAUGAAUAAGGGGUGACCGGGAGAUUACAAGGAAAACUGGUACCUAGAGUGGCACUUCGACGUAUUGAUAGUGUGGACUUUGGCAAAGACCGGAGAAAUUUCUAAAGCAGAUCUUCUAAAGGGCUUAAAAAACAGGGUUCUGAGGAUGACUAAAAAGAAACAACAACGCAUGCAGAGAGGAAUGAUGUACUAUGAAGUGCCUUGUGAUAGUUUGGAUGUUUAAUUAUCUGUUAGAGGUAUGUUUCCCUCCUUAACUUCCAAAUUAUAGUCCUGCUUCUAAUUUAUUUACUCUUGUUGUAUUUUAUU